rnacentral:ncRNA from 1 species
GAGAGCCGGAUGCGGCGAAAGUCGCACGUCCGGUUCGGGGGCGCGGCCCCGGGAAAUAGCUCCGGCGAAAUCCGGAACACUACGCCCGGGGUCGACGCCUAC